UCUCUCUCUCCAACUCCUCCUCCUUUCAUAUUCCAAUAUUUUUUUGGUGAAUCUCUUCAUCAAACAUCAUCUAAUGGAGAGACAACCUACUCUAAAUAGUUUUUUUCCAUAACCUACUCCAACAAAUUCCUGCAUGUGAUCUAGUUUCAUUAGUCGUGUAUGAGAAAUCCCUUGAUCUAUAGCAAAAGAUGGUUUCGUCGUUGAUGGAGAUGCUUCCGUCAAAGCUGGCCAGUCGGUGGACAUAAUGGACUCAAGAAGGACUCAAAGAUUGGACGCUCAUAGCACAACACCGAAGACAUGAUUUUCUAACCAGUUGGUGCAUAUAAGUGAUGGAUUCCAGGAGUACACAAGUGUUGCAUUUACUGGUCUAAUCUGCUUACGUUUCUCUUUGUUUUUUUUGUUUUGAUAGACAAUUUUUAAAGUUCUAGUCCUUUCAUGUUUGGUCUAUCUCGGUUGGAAUUUGCAUUAUUAGUGGACAUAUAUCACAAUGUGGCUGUGGACAAAAAUACAUGUAUA